rnacentral:tRNA from 1 species
GCUCAUAUAGAUUAAGUUUGAAAAUUAUUAGGCUGUUAACCUGGGGAUGGAUUAAGUUAAUAAUUCUAUGUGCG